AACGUGGGUUCCGAGCGUUAUCCGGAUUUCCUGGGCGUAAAGCGCGUUCAGGCGGUUUGGCAAGUCGGGCAUGAAAUCUCUCGGCUCAACCGGGAGAGGUUGUCCGAUACUGCUGGACUUGAGGGCAGUAGAGGGUGGUGGAAUUCCGGGUGUAGUGGUGAAAUGCGUAGAUAUCCGGAGGAACACCAGUGGCGAAAGCGGCCACCUGGACUGUACCUGACGCUGACACGCGAAAGCUAGGGGAGCGAACGGG
rnacentral:rRNA from 1 species